rnacentral:rRNA from 1 species
UGAUGCAGCGACGCCGCGUGAGGGAUGACGGCCUUCGGGUUGUAAACCUCUUUCAGCAGGGACGAAGCGAAAGUGACGGUACCUGCAGAAGAAGCACCGGCCAACUACGUGCCAGCAGCCGCGGUAAUACGUAGGGUGCGAGCGUUGUCCGGAAUUACUGGGCGUAAAGAGCUCGUAGGCGGUUUGUCGCGUCGUCUGUGAAAACCAGCAGCUCAACUGCUGGCUUGCAGGCGAUACGGGCAGACUUGAGUACUGCAGGGGAGACUGGAAUUCCUGGUGUAGCGGUGAAAUGCGCAGAUAUCAGGAGGAACACCGGUGGCGAAGGCGGGUCUCUGGGCAGUAACUGACGCUGAGGAGCGAAAGCGUGGGUAGCGAACAGGAUUAGAUACCCUGGUAGUCCACGCCGUAAACGGUGGGCGCUAGGUGUGGGUUUCCUUCCACGGGAUCCGUGCCGUACCUAACGCAUUAAGCGCCCCGCCGGGGGAGUACGGCCGCAAGGCUAAAACUCAAAGGAAUUGACGGGGGCCCGCACAAGCGGCGGAGCAGGUGGAUUAAUUCGAUGCAACGCGAAAAACCUUACCUGGGUUUGACAUAUACCGGAAAGCCGUAAAGAUACGGCCCCCCUUGUGGU